CUGUUAUACCCAGGCUCAGCUGAGGUGCCUGGGACUCUGAAAUCUUCUCCACCAUGCGAACACACAUCAACAGGGUUAGGAGUGGAUGGGCACAGCCCUGUCCUCACCUCCCACCUCUGUGCCUCUUCACGGAUGCGACAUUUAUUCCACUCUGUUGUGUUCUAAUGAGGCACCCUGAUUCAUCUUCAGCUUUUAGGGCCAACAAUAACUCCUGCUCCCUUUUUUACCCCAGACUCUGGCCUUUUCACUAGAUGUUUCCAACAAGAUUAGACGCUGUUAAUGCUCCAGGUGAACUAUGUUCUUUUCUUGUAGGCUCACAUCACAUCUGUGACCUAACAGAUUCAUGUGAAAAGCCACUGCUACCAGCCUCUCCGUGGGGUCCGUGACAUGUUCGGAUGGGGAUUUUGCCUUUAAUGUAGUCUAGUGUCUUUUAAACAUCCCUUUCUUCCUAUCAUUCAAAUUUGUUAUUAUUGUCUUCUGUAUUUCAUAGGAAAACAAAUACUGCUUGUUAUAUAUUUCUGUUAAAAUAUUGCAUACACUUUUGCUGUUUUGAUUUUGCAUCCUUUUUAAAACUCUGUGUCAUGAUCUUUUUAUCGGACUUUAACUUUUCAAGAUUUCCAUGUGUGUGGGAAACAAUGACUUUUUUGUCUACAAAUCCCGAGUUUCCUAUUGCUCUCUAAGGAAGUUGCUCUUCUGUAACAACUGUGUCAGUAUUUCCAUUGCCUCAUACUUAAUUAACAUGUU
rnacentral:lncRNA from 1 species